CAUUGCAUUACUUACCUCAACUCUUAGCUGUCGGGAACGGUAACCGGGACCCGCUGUCCGCUGUCACCCUCGCCUUCUAACCUGUAGCUACCAUGCGUGAGUGCAUCUCCAUCCACGUCGGCCAGGCUGGUGUCCAGAUCGGCAAUGCCUGCUGGGAACUCUACUGCCUGGAACAUGGCAUCCAGCCUGACGGCCAGAUGCCAAGUGACAAGACCAUUGGGGGAGGAGAUGACUCCUUCAACACCUUCUUCAGUGAGACAGGCGCUGGCAAGCAUGUGCCCCGGGCAGUGUUUGUAGACCUGGAACCCACGGUUAUUGAUGAAGUUCGCACUGGUACCUACCGCCAGCUUUUCCACCCUGAGCAGCUCAUCACAGGCAAGGAAGAUGCCGCCAAUAACUAUGCCCGUGGCCACUACACCAUUGGCAAGGAGAUCAUUGACCCCGUCUUGAACAGAAUUCGCAAGCUGGCUGACCAGUGCACAGGUCUUUAGGGCUUCUUGGUUUUCCACAGCUUUGGCGGGGGAACUGGCUCUGGGUUCACCUCCCUGCUGAUGGAGAGGCUCUCUGUUGAUUACGGAAAGAAAUCCAAGCUGGAGUUCUCCAUCUACCCAGCCCCCCAGGUUUCCACAGCUGUGGUUGAGCCCUACAACUCCAUCCUCACCACCCACACCGCCCUGGAGCACUCUGAUUGUGCCUUCAUGGUAGACAACGAGGCCAUCUAUGACAUCUGUCGUAGAAACCUCGACAUUGAGCGCCCCACCUACACUAACCUUAACCGCCUCAUUAGCCAGAUCGUGUCCUCCAUCACUGCUUCCCUCAGAUUUGAUGGAGCCCUGAAUGUUGACCUGACAGAAUUCCAGACCAACCUGGUGCCCUACCCUCGCAUCCACUUCCCUCUGGCCACAUAUGCCCCUGUCAUCUCUGCUGAGAAAGCCUACCAUGAGCAGCUUUCUGUAGCAGAGAUCACCAAUGCCUGCUUUGAGCCAGCCAACCAGAUGGUGAAAUGCGACCCUCGCCAUGGUAAAUACAUGGUUUGCUGCCUGCUGUACCGUGGUGAUGUGGUUCCCAAAGAUGUCAAUGCUGCCAUUGCCACCAUCAAGACCAAGCGCAGCAUCCAGUUUGUGGACUGGUGCCCUACUGGCUUCAAGGUUGGCAUUAAUUACCAACCUCCCACUGUGGUACCUGGUGGAGACCUGGCCAAGGUCCAGAGAGCUGUGUGCAUGCUGAGCAACACCACAGCCAUCGCUGAGGCCUGGGCUCGCCUAGAUCACAAGUUUGAUCUGAUGUAUGCCAAGCGUGCCUUUGUGCACUGGUAUGUGGGUGAGGGUAUGGAGGAGGGAGAGUUCUCUGAGGCCCGUGAAGACAUGGCUGCCCUAGAGAAGGAUUAUGAGGAGGUUGGUGUGGAUUCAGUUGAAGGAGAGGGUGAGGAAGAAGGGGAGGAGUACUAAUCUGUUCUUUCAGCCCCUGGAUCAUGUCAAACUCCCAGAACGUCAGCUUCAACGUUAGCCGACAGUCAUUGAUGCUUUCGUGUUAACAUUGUUCUGUGAUCAUGUCUUUUCCAUGUGCCCCUGUAUGGUUUAUUUCCAUCAUGUCUCAAAGUAAAA